GAAGCGGAGCGCCAUGGCUGGGAGCUGGUGGAGUAGAGCAGGCUGGGGCCGGGUUGCUCUGCUUCCUGCCACUGCUGGAUGAAUUGGACUGUGUUCCGAGCACCCAUGAGCACAGAGUCCCAUUUCAGUGUGGACUCAUCUGUGGAGCCGAGACAAGUGUGGAUUAAGAACCUGGAUGUCUGCAAAGACCCAACCCAGGAUGCUCUGGACAACCAGCAGGGAGAGGGAGAAGGAGAAGAAAGGUGGGAGAGGGGAGUGACACUAGUCACAGAGAAGAGCUCGUCCCCAAUUCAUAGGAACUGUUCCCCUUUAUGACCCAGGCAGAGCACGGUGUGGUGGAGGUUUCCCAAACUGAAGAAGCAGGGGAGGAGAGCAACUCAGGCUGGUUCCCAAAAAUCAUGCUGGGUGUGUCUCCAUCUCUACUGUGAUGCGGCAGAAUUCACUGUUCUAUGAUGUCAGAGCCACCAUUAGGCCCCACUGUAGAAAGGAGGCAGUCCAUAAGGGUCAGGAUUCAGCCAAAAGACAAUUUGAGACUGAACAAGAAAAUCCACCUGAACUGAGUAACAAAAUCUGUAAAUGGAGGAAGCCCCUGUUACUUCUUUCUUAGACAAGCCAGCUUUCCUGAUGGAGGGACACACACAGAGAAAGGGUUGUUUAUGACAUGGCAGCAUGGGGAGAAAUGUAGAAACUGAAAUACUGCAGCAAUUUGAAGAAGCGAGAGCAAAGGAAGAACAGGGGACUCAUUGCAAAACCUUCCUAGGAUGUGCAGGGACUGGCAAUCUUCCAAACAAAGAGGAUUGAUGGGUGGCAUUGAUACAGAGUAAUCCCAGAGUUGAACAAAUGUGCAUCCAGGAUCUCAUCCUGAGAGAUGCUGAAUACCUGCAGCUCCCACUCAAGUCAACCAGGGUUAGGUACUGGGUACUACACAGAACGAGACCCUCCAUUUGGAAAGUCUUGAAUUGUAUAUUUUGAAGAAAAACGCAGCUUCUGAGCUAUUGUAAAGACAGUGGAAAACUACCAGCUUACACCAGAACAAUACUGCAGCUCCAAGCAG